rnacentral:rRNA from 1 species
GCUCUUUUGGGUCUUGUAAUUGGAAUGAGUACAAUUUAAAUCCCUUAACGAGGAACAAUUGGAGGGCAAGUCUGGUGCCAGCAGCCGCGGUAAUUCCAGCUCCAAUAGCGUAUAUUAAAGUUGUUGUGGUUAAAAAGCUCGUAGUUGAACCUUGGGCCUGGCUGGCCGGUCCGCCUCACCGCGUGUACUGGUCCGGCCGGGCCUUUCCCUCUGUGGAACCCCAUGCCCUUCACUGGGUGUGGCGGGGAAACAGGACUUUUACUUUGAAAAAAUUAGAGUGCUCCAGGCAGGCCUAUGCUCGAAUACAUUAGCAUGGAAUAAUAGAAUAGGACGUGUGGUUCUAUUUUGUUGGUUUCUAGGACCGCCGUAAUGAUUAAUAGGGACAGUCGGGGGCAUCAGUAUUCAAUUGUCAGAGGUGAAAUUCUUGGAUUUAUUGAAGACUAACUACUGCGAAAGCAUUUGCCAAGGAUGUUUUCAUUAAUCAGGAACGAAAGUUAGGGGAUCGAAGACGAUCAGAUACCGUCGUAGUCUUAACCAUAAACUAUGCCGACUAGGGAUCGGACGAUGUUAUUUUUUGACUCGUUCGGCACCUUACGAGAAAUCAAAGUGCUUGGGCUCCAGGGGGAGUAUGGUCGCAAGGCUGUAACUUAAAGAAAUUGACGGAAGGGCACCACCAGGGGUGGAGCCUGCGGCUUAAUUUGACCCAACACGGGGAAACUCACCAGGUCCAGACACAAUGAGGAUUGACAGAUUGAGAGCUCUUUCUUGAUUUUGUGGGUGGUGGUGCAUGGCCGUUCUUAGUUGGUGGAGUGAUUUGUCUGCUUAAUUGCGAUAACGAACGAGACCUUAACCUGCUAAAUAGCCCGUAUUGCUUUGGCAGUACGCUGGCUUCUUAGAGGGACUAUCGGCUCAAGCCGAUGGAAGUUUGAGGCAAUAACAGGUCUGUGAUGCCCUUAGAUGUUCUGGGCCGCACGCGCGCUACACUGACGGAGCCAGCGAGUUCUCCCUUGGCCGGAAGGUCCGGGUAAUCUUGUUAAACUCCGUCGUGCUGGGGAUAGAGCAUUGCAAUUAUUGCUCUUCAACGAGGAAUCCCUAGUAAGCGCAAGUCAUCAGCUUGCGUUGAUUACGUCCCUGCCCUUUGUACACACCGCCCGUCGCUACUACCGAUUGAAUGGCUCAG